rnacentral:lncRNA from 1 species
CAAUAUUCGUCUUUAUCAAAUAGACGCAGGGCGGUUCGAUGGGGAUGAAGCUGGCUGGACUUCCACGCAGUCGCAGACUGGAGAGCUCUGGCAGUCACUUCUCUUCCCUGGCAGGAUCAAUGAGGGGGUGAAAGAAGUGGAGUGUGCUGGGCUUUCUGGUCCCCCAAUGCCACCCCUGCCUACCUGGGGUGCCUGUUCCUGUUGCAUCUGAAUGCUUCACCCAGUGAGGUGUGCGAGCUCACUGGUUCAUGGGGUCAAAAAGAGAUUCCUCUUCUUGUUAAGAAGAGUCCCUGGACCACAGUGUACCUGUCCUUUUCUGAACAGCUGCUGUGCUGCAUCCCAGAAGUAUCUGCGUUGCAUGGGUGAGUGAAGUAUACCUUUGUCCAUUUUACCUAUGUGACUAUAAUGAGCUUCG